rnacentral:rRNA from 1 species
UACGUAGGGUGCAAGCGUUAAUCGGAAUUACUGGGCGUAAAGCGUGCGCAGGCGGUUUUGUAAGUCUGUCGUGAAAUCCCCGGGCUCAACCUGGGAAUUGCGAUGGAGACUGCAAGGCUGGAGUCUGGCAGAGGGGGGUAGAAUUCCACGUGUAGCAGUGAAAUGCGUAGAGAUGUGGAGGAACACCGAUGGCGAAGGCAGCCCCCUGGGUCAAGACUGACGCUGAGGCGCGACAGCGUGGGGAGCAAACAGG